rnacentral:rRNA from 7 species
GUGACUGCGUACCUUUUGUAUAAUGGGUCAGCGACUUAUAUUCUGUAGCAAGGUUAACCGUAUAGGGGAGCCGGAGGGAAACCGAGUCUUAAUUGGGCGUUAAGUUGCAGGGUAUAGACCCGAAACCCGGUGAUCUAGCCAUGGGCAGGUUGAAGGUUGGGUAACACUAACUGGAGGACCGAACCGACUAAUGUUGAAAAAUUAGCGGAUGACCUGUGGCUGGGGGUGAAAGGCCAAUCAAACCGGGAGAUAGCUGGUUCUCCCCGAAAGCUAUUUAGGUAGCGCCUCGUGAAUUCAUCUCCGGGGGUAGAGCACUGUUUCGGCUAGGGGGCCAUCCCGGCUUACCAACCCGAUGCAAACUGCGAAUACCGGAGAAUGUUAUCACGGGAGACACACGGCGGGUGCUAACGUCCGUCGUGAAGAGGGAAACAACCCAGACCGCCAGCUAAGGUCCCAAAGUCAUGGUUAAGUGGGAAACGAUGUGGGAAGGCCCAGACAGCCAGGAUGUUGGCUUAGAAGCAGCCAUCAUUUAAAGAAAGCGUAAUAGCUCACUGGUCGAGUCGGCCUGCGCGGAAGAUGUAACGGGGCUAAACCAUGCACCGAAGCUGCGGCAGCGACGCUGAUGCGUUGUUGGGUAGGGGAGCGUUCUGUAAGCCUGCGAAGGUGACCUGUGAGGGUUGCUGGAGGUAUCAGAAGUGCGAAUGCUGACAUAAGUAACGAUAAAGCGGGUGAAAAGCCCGCUCGCCGGAAGACCA